CCGCGAGGGGAAGAUGAAAAGGACUUUGAAAAGAGAGUUAAAAAGUGCUUGAAAUUGCUGGGAGGGAAGCGAAUGGAUGCCUUUGUUGCCUGCUGGUUGUGUGCGGAACGGCGUAAAAGCUGGUCUGUCAAUCAACUCAGCGGGCUCGCUAGUGUGGGGGUGGAUGCCGGGAUAAAGGUCCCGGGCUCUUUUGCUUGGGAUUGAUGCCGGUGUCUACUCUGUGGCCUGGGGUGUGCGCCUUUCUGGCGGGCAACCUGCACACCCGGGACGCUGGCGGUUUUAGGUUUUUCAUUCGACCCGUCUUGAAACACGGACCAAGGAGUCUAACAUGUAUGCGAGCCUGCGGGUGUUUACACCUUGCCAGGCGUAAGGAAACUGAUGUGUGGGAUCCCCUUCGGGGGUGCACCACCGACCGACCAUGAGCUUUUGCGAAAGGUUCGAGUGUAAGCAUACCUGCUGGGACCCGAAAGAUGGUGAACUAUGCCUGGGCAGGGCGAAGCCAGAGGAAACUCUGGUGGAGGCUCGUAGCGAUACUGACGUGCAAAUCGUUCGUCAGACUUGGGUAUAGGGGCGAAAGACUAAUCGAACCAUCUAGUAGCUGGUUCCCUCCGAAGUAUCCCUCAGGAUAGCUGGAGCUCAAAUUGAGAGUUUUAUCAGGUAAAGCGAAUGAUUAGAGGCAUUGGGGGUGAAACACCCUCGACCUAUUCUCAAACUUUAAAUAGGUAAGGUGUCGGGGUUGCUCCGGCUGAACCCCGACCUUUGAAUCUGAGCUCCAAGUGAGCCAUUUUUGGUAA
rnacentral:rRNA from 1 species